UACGUAGGGCGCAAGCGUUAUCCGGAAUUAUUGGGCGUAAAGAGCUCGUAGGCGGCUUGUCGCGUCGACUGUGAAAACCCGUGGCUCAACCAUGUGGUCUGCAGUCGAUACGGGCAGGCUAGAAUUCGGUAGGGGAGACUGGAAUUCCUGGUGUAGCGGUGAAAUGCGCAGAUAUCAGGAGGAACACCGGUGGCGAAGGCGGGUCUCUGGGCCGAUAUUGACGCUGAGGAGCGAAAGCGUGGGGAGCGAACAGG
rnacentral:rRNA from 1 species